GGAGGCCCCCCUUAAAAAUCAUUUCUUAGUGCUUUUCUCAUUGGUUUCUGGUGGAGAUGUUGUUCUUUUAAGAAUUCCUGUUGCAGGAGCAGAGGACAAGUGGUUUGGAACCAAAUAAUUAAGGGGGAGCCUCAUGAUUGGGAAAUUGUUUAUGAAUUUAGGAAAAAGGCUUUGUGAGUUCUCUGCAGGUACAAGAAUGGAUGAUAAAGUUCAACUGUUGUUGAGAAGAGUGAGGAAUUUAGUGUGAAAUCUUGUAAUGAUAGGCUGUUGGAAUGGGAGCAGAAACAAGGAAGAUGAAAUCCCCUGUAGAGAGGUUUUGUUAUUGGGAAGCUUUGCAGGAAAAAAUUCUAGCAAUGGACAAGGUGAAUCCUGAAAUGAAGUCAUUUACUUCAUUGUGAAUAAGUGAGUACUCUUUGUUUUUUGUAACCAAUGGAACAAUGCAGAGAAUGUGGAGAUGUAAUGAGAAAUACUUGGAAGGUUUUUAUUGUGGAGGCAAACGGGAAAGAAACACAGGAUGCCAUUCCAUUGGCUAUUUUUUCAAUGACUUGGACAGCAGAAUUUGCAGACUUUUGAAGAUAUAGAACCUUCAUUGGAUGAGUGUAAAGAUUGAUUAUUUCAUUUUCAUUUUCUGGGGACUAGGUCAUUAGCCGUGAAUUGCAAUCCUUUUGUAAAUUUUGGAUUGCUGUUUCUGUGCAGUUCUUAAAAGGGUAAUCUCCAAGAUUUUGUUGUGUGUGUGUGUGUGUGUGU
rnacentral:misc_RNA from 1 species